AAAUAAUUACUAAUAGAUAAAGAAGUAUGUGCAGGAUUUAAUUUCACAACUAAAGAGGACUCCAAAGAAGAAUUAAAAUUCUGGUGGAUCAAAGGUCGAGGAAUGAUUUGGUUUUAACUGGUUUGCAUCUUAUGAACGAAGUACAUAAUAUGAUUUAAAUUAAUGAUUUAUAGUUACACCUAUUGAAAUUCUGUAUCUCAAUGAUAUCCUGGCUUAUUGAUACGAUAUCCUGUAAAUCCACUCACACACAUAAAUUUUACUCACACACGUAAAUCCUGUAAAUUCACUCACACACAUAAAUCUUAAAAAAGAUGUUUA
rnacentral:lncRNA from 1 species